CCUACGGGAGGCAGCAGUGAGGAAUAUUGGUCAAUGGCCGCAAGUCUGAACCAGCCAAGUCGCGUGCGGGAUGACGGUCCUAUGGGUUGUAAACCUCUUUUGUCAGGGAGCAAAGGCCGCCACGUGUGGCGGUUUGCGAGUAUCUUAAGAAAAAGGAUCGGCUAACUCCGUGCCAGCAGCCGCGGUAAUACGGAGGAUGCGAGCGUUAUCCGGAUUUAUUGGGUUUAAAGGGUGCGCAGGCGGAAGGUCAAGUCAGCGGUAAAAUUUCGGGGCUCAACUCCGGCGUGCCGUUGAAACUGGCGGUCUUGAGUGAGGGAGAAGUAUGCGGAAUGCGUGGUGUAGCGGUGAAAUGCAUAGAUAUCACGCAGAACGCCGAUUGCGAAGGCAGCAUACCGGCCUUCAACUGACGCUGAGGCACGAAAGCGUGGGGAGCAAACAGGAUUAGAUACCCUGGUAGUC
rnacentral:rRNA from 1 species